rnacentral:lncRNA from 1 species
UUGUGUUUGGUUCGGAAAGUCGGCUUUUUGAUUGCGAUUACGGUUUAGUUAAUAACCGCUGUGUUUAGCAACGGCGACGAAUAUCAAACAUAGUAGUAGAUUCUCCGACGUCAGAGUCGCCGGUUUGGGAGAAGAAGAGUAAGAGGAUGAGGGAAGCGAGUCUCAAGUGAGACCCGGUUUUAUUCGGAUUAAACCGGUUCGAUUAAUUGAACCGAAUGAUUUACUCUGUUUUCUUCUCCUCUGUUUUCUUCUCCUCUUUCGUCAAAGUCACGGAGGCUGUGAAUCGAUGAACGAAUCACCUGAGUAACGAAGAUUGAUUCCUCGUUAGUCUCGAUUGGCUCAUUGUUUUCCGGUACCGGAGAAUACUCACGGCGAAGCCAAAAGAAAGAAAGAGAAGCUCGCUUUGCUUUAGAGAGAUAGAAAGAGGGGAAAAUUAGAACAUUCCGCAACUCUUAAGUUUGAAUUAGAAAUUUGGGUAAACUCGUGUUUUAAUUAGGUUGUUGGGCAACUAAGUAGGAAAGAAAAGAAAAAAUGGACAGUUUUAACAUUUUUGCCCAACAAUUUUAAGCUGAAAUUCGUGGGACCAGGCUAUCUUUUGCCAGAAAAACUUGCUUCAGGAAUACCGACACAUGCGCGCCGGAUGUGCAUGUAAGAGACGAAUUGAAUAUUAUAUUAUUUUAAUUUCAGAAGGAAACAUGGUAUUGGGCUUCGUUUUUGGGUUAUUUGACCCCAAAACUUGAAGGCCUUAUAUGUGAUGAUUUCUCGCGGGAAACAACAUCUUCAAUGUGGACGAAUGGCCAUUAAUGACAGGUGACUUUGAAAAACAUGUGUUUUACUUUAAUUUAUUAAUUAAAAACAGGGCAAAUAUUAAUUAUUUAAUAAAAAACGUACGAACCAUAUCUCUUUGCCUGUCUCCUUGUUGAGGAGUAAAAAAGGCUACCGAACAAGGGAACUUGAGGCAGCGAAUUUUACACACAGAGGCAUGAGCUGCAUCCGAUAUGGUGAGGGAGGAAAGGGUAUGGCGGAUGGUGGGUGUUCUGUAUCUAGCAUCGAAGGUAAAUCAUAUAUAAGCCGUACACCAUUGCAUUUAUGACAUUAUAGUUAUUGCUGAAAUCAUUUAUUACAGAUUUGAGGGUGUUCGGAAUUCAGGUGUUUUUUUGUNNNNNNNNNNNNNNNNNNNNNNNNNNNNNNNNNNNNNNNNNNNNNNNNNNNNNNNNNNNNNNNNNNNNNNNNNNNNNNNNNNNNNNNNNNNNNNNNNNNNNNNNNNNNNNNNNNNNNNNNNNNNNNNNNNNNNNNNNNNNNNNNNNNNNNNNNNNNNNNNNNNNNNNNNNNNNNNNNNNNNNNNNNNNNNNNNNNNNNNNNNNNNNNNNNNNNNNNNNNNNNNNNNNNNNNNNNNNNNNNNNNNNNNNNNNNNNNNNNNNNNNNNNNNNNNNNNNNNNNNNNNNNNNNNNNNNNNNNNNNNNNNNNNNNNNNNNNNNNNNNNNNNNNNNNNNNNNNNNNNNNNNNNNNNNNNNNNNNNNNNNNNNNNNNNNNNNNNNNNNNNNNNNNNNNNNNNNNNNNNNNNNNNNNNNNNNNNNNNNNNNNNNNNNNNNNNNNNNNNNNNNNNNNNNNNNNNNNNNNNNNNNNNNNNNNNNNNNNNNNNNNNNNNNNNNNNNNNNNNNNNNNNNNNNNNNNNNNNNNNNNNNNNNNNNNNNNNNNNNNNNNNNNNNNNNNNNNNNNNNNNNNNNNNNNNNNNNNNNNNNNNNNNNNNNNNNNNNNNNNNNNNNNNNNNNNNNNNNNNNNNNNNCGAAUACUGACGGUAUUCGAAUACUUAAGGUCUACGAAUACUGACGGUAUUCGAAUACUGACGGUAUACGAAUACUGACGGUAUACGAAUACUGACGGUAUACGAAUACUUAAGGUCUACGAAUAAUUUCAUUAAUUACUCACUUUUAUUACUCAACAUUCAUAACUAGGGAUGUCAAAUGGGCUUAAUGACCAUGGGUUAACCAAGACCAAACCCAAAUGGUCUCACCAUAUUAGGCCCAAAAUUUAAAGUUGUCCAAUUGGACUGAAACCUAUUAAGUCCAAAUUAGAUGGGCUAAAACCAUUUGGACAUGGACGUCCAAUUUGGAAUGGUUUAUGGUUCUAUUUGGAAUGGUCUAUUUUGGAAUGGUCUAUUUUGGUUUGGACAAUUUGGACUAGGUACAAUUUGGACUUAAAGAAAAAUAACAUCUUCACAAAAGAAAACAGAUACAAAGAAAGCAAUGUCAGCACAGAAGAUUCAACUUGCUUCUUUGAUCCUAACUUUUUUUCUUCUGUUUUCUCAAACAACUGGUAAUAUUAUAUUACUCUAAUUCUUCGUAGUUGAAUGAUAUAAUAAAAUGAGCUGGUUUAUUUUCAAUUGAACUUUUCAGGUAAAUGUAACUAUAGAAGGCCACGACUGCAAGAACGUGUGCACACUGCCUUCAGAAGAUCCAACUUUUCUAGCAUGUCUUACUGGUCCCCCAUUGUAAGGCACAUGUUGUUGUUUAGUAAAACAAAAAUAGUCUUGUCAUUACCUAUCAUAAGAUUUUCUUUUUUUUUGGUCAAACCUAUCAUAAGAUUUAAUAUCAAUAAAAAGUAGGGAAAUAUGUCGGUAUAACCAAGAAAAAAGCAUAAUUCAUGAAGUAGCCAAUUUCCCUAAUAUAACGAUACACAGUGUGUAUUUUAUAUAAUAUUGCUAUCCUACCCUUUCAUUCAACUGGUAAAACCUACAAAAAAAAUUAUAAUCUAAAUUAAUAACUAGUGAUUCUAAAAAAAAGACGUGGCAUUUACUUACUCUCACAUAGCUAACAAAGCAAAUGGUAAAAUAUGGAAAGGUCAAUAGAUUCAUCUUCAUAUUUGAGCGAUUAAGACGCCACUGAUUACAUUCUUGGUGAGUUUGUGGAGAAGAAGACCAUUAUCGAAGGCUCGGUAGGUGACAAAAGGCGUGAGUAAGACGGCACCGUAACGGCGGUAAAACAAAAUCACAUUGACUAUUAUGUAAGUUGUUUUACUACUCUUAAAUUCUUUGAAUUUCCAUUCAUUGUAUGUCGGAAUCUGAUAUUGUAAAGUAAAAAAACCAUAAGUUUGAGAUUUUCCAUUUAUAAGAAAAUGGUGUUUGUAUUUCAUUUGCAUGACAAUAUAGUUGACUGUGUAUAUACAUGGAAUUGACCUGAUGAAGAUAGCUAUGUCAACCUCUAUUACUUUGUUUGUGUGAAUUUGUAAAUAAAAUAUACUAUAUAUAAGUAAAUAAAGUAGUAUAGAUGUUUAUUUCCAUAAUAUAUAAACUAUAUUGUGGUGGGUGACUGUGUUGUAUAUAAAUGGAAUAGUACAGAUGUCUGCCCGCAUAGUAUAGUAAUUAUUAUGUUAAUAGUAUAGUAUAUGUUAUUGAAGUGGUUUUCAGUUUAAAAGUAAUGUGCGUUGACAUCGCCACAUAAUUAAUAAUCAUAAUUUAAUAUGUGAUGUUCUGUGAUUUAUGGAAUUAUUGAUGAAAUUGUCUCCGUUGAUGGUGAAGGAUUGUGGUGAAUAAUAGAGUUUUGAAGACUCGUGUGGCGAGUGACAUGACUUGUUCAGUGGCGAUCACCUCCAUCUAUACAAUCGAAACUACUGUAUUUGUUUCUACUACAAUUGUCCCUCUUCUCAUAAUUCUAUGACCGUAUGUUCUUCUCUUCUAUCUAGUGAAUCAACAACAAAAUUCUUUUCUCCGAUGCGGUUGCAUGUACUAUCUCCACCGAUGUCAUCAGAUACACUUAUUUUUUAUUGUUGCGAAUGACAAACAAUAUUGAAUGUGUUGACCUUUCCAUAUUUUAUAUUGAUGUGUAUAUGAUUUUGUAAAGAGAAAUAGUAUAUUAAACGCAAAUGAAAUAGAAUUUAUUAUGGCAUCAGAUAAAACAUAAUACAAUGUGAUGUUGAGUCGAAUGGUAUUCAUAUGAUGUUUCUUUAAUAUUACAUAAUAUAAUUUAAUACAAUUUUAUGUACUUUUUAAAUUUUGAUAUUUGAGUUUAGGGUUUAUCUUUGGAUUAUGGUUUAGUGAUUUAAGUUUAGGGUUUAGUAUUUAGAAAGUGAGGGAGUAUGGUUUUGGGUCGGUAUUAACUUCUUCCUUGCAAUCAUAUAUAUUUCAUAAUCUCACCAAUAGGUACUAUGUUAUUUAUUUUAUUCCAUUCUAUUUGGGUUUAUGAUUUAUAUUUAGGUUUAUGAUUUAUAUUUAGGGUUAGGGUUUAUAUUUGGGUAAGGGUUUAGUGAUUAGAGUUUAGGGUUUAGUAUUUAGAAGGUGGAGAAGUAUGGUUAUGGUUGACGUUAACUUCUUCCAUGCAAUCAUAAACAUUUCAUAAUUUCAACAAUAUGUACUAUGUUAUUUAUUUUGUUCCAUUCUAUCUAGGUUUUGGGUUUAUAUUUGAGUUUAUGGUUUAUAUUUGUUUUUAGGGUUUAGUGAUUAGAUUUUAGGAUAUAAUAUUUAGGGGUUGAGAUAAUGUUACGUAGGAAUUGUGGUUGGAUAUGUUUAGUAUUUAGGGAUUAUAAGUGGCCACCAGAACGUCGGCCAAUCCCUGUACCCAUCUCAUUAAACACAACAAACGCCUCCCUUUGUACAGUAGCAGUCUCAUCCCUAAACUCCCAUUCCGAAAGGUUUGGAAAUGGCUUAUAUCUCCACUUACCUUUCACUUGGAACUUCUCUACACCAAGGAGAAACUGUUUGAAGCCUCUUGCAUCUCAUCACAUGCUCUUUUGGCAUAUCAACUUCGACUUAUGUGUCUUCUGCAUCAGUCUCUUGCUUUUAAUCUUGAAUCUCCAGGAUUUAGAAAGACUUGUUCCGCUUCGGCUUAAUCCUUACUUCACGUCAUUGGCAUGUAAAAAAUGUGGAAUUUCUCUCUUAGAUGCCCAAAGGAAGGGCCAAAUACAAAACCAGAGUUGGACAACAUCAACAGCAAGUUACUUCCUAAAAAUAUUUUCCAAUAGAGAACAACUUUGGUCUGGUGCAAAGCGAGCUCAUUGGAACCAAAUUCAACUUAGCUGAGUUUCACUAUACUUGCCAGCUCUGAAGAAAUGUUCUAGUUGCCAAAUUCAACAGUUACUGGAGAUGAAGAUCAGAACAUAAGAAAAAGAGGAGGAGAAGCAGAAUCUCCGGUUUAAACCCGCCCAACAUGAGCCUAAGUUGGGCUUGGCCCACAAUAUAAAGCCUAAUUUGACAACACUCAACGUUCUAGUGACCAAUGUUUAAAAACCGGACAUUGAUUGAUUCGGCAUUGUGACUGUCAACAAUGGUUUGCACCGGUUGACUUUUCUUUUUCCUUUUAAUUUUAAUUAAUUAAAAUAUAAAAUUAAAAGUAUACAAUUGAUUUAUUAAAAAUAUAAAUGUAAAAACAUAAAUUCUGUAGAUGGAAUAAUCUUUACCAAUCAAAACCAGGAAAAUUAAAACAAAUCUUAGCCAAAAAAUUGGGAGACACACACACGUGAUUAGGAUACAAUGCAUAACUUGGUUAAUGUAAAUUAAAUAUGAUAAAUAAAUAAAUAAAUAAAUAUUGGCAUUGAACCAACAACAUAAAUGAAAAAAACUAAAUAUUGAACAUGAAUGUAAAAUCUAUUUUAAGUUUGUGGACACUAAAACUUUUUGAAGUUUUUAUCCAGUUAAAAUUCGUUUAUUUUCUAAGAAUAUUUUUUUCCAGGCAAUCGUGAUUUUUUUUCCUUUUUUAUUUAAUCACUAAAUUUUUAUUCUAUCAUUUUCUAAUGAUAUCUUUACAUGGAAUCAAAUCCAUUAACUCCAAAAAAAAUUACAAUAUUUAUAAAAUUUUCAAAUUUAAAAUAAAAAAAAUCAUUAGUUGUUUACACAUCAAAAUAGCAAUAGAUUUUAAUUUAUAAAUAAUAGAGCGAAUUCCAUAGAAAUUACACAAAGAUUCAAAAAAUUGGAGAGAUGAAAAAAACACCUACCCAAACGUGGGGCCCAACUCUAGACGAUAACGAUAAAAUAAAAUAAACUUCAUUAAAUCUAAAACAUAAAUAAAACAUUCUAGCAAAAUGAAAUAAUUUCCAAACCUCUUUGAAUUUUUAAUUUGUUGAUUUUUAAAUAUUUUAUAUAAGUUAUCGUGUUUUACUUUGAAAAUAAUUUUUUGUUGAACAGUUUCAACUUAACUUUGACAUUUUUAUAUAAUAUAUAGAUAAAAUGAGUAAUUCAAAUUUUUAGUUUUUCGCUCAUUAUAACACAUAGAUUUACUUAUUGUAAAAUAGGUUUUCAACUUUUCAUUGUGAAAAAUCAAAAAGGAUAACAAAAUUAACACAAUAAAGAUGAUAAAAUGAAAUUUGAGGUUAUUUUCAGGUUUAUAAACUUAAUAGCAUUACUUAUUUAUAGGGGUUAAAUAUCUAAUCUAUUAAAACGGAAAUACAAUUAGUAUUAGACCUUGAUUUUUCUUUAUUAUUUACAACAUAUGCCACUGAUUCAAAUCUAUCUAAUCUAUUAAAACUGAAGUACAAUUAAUAUUUGAUCUUGAUUUUUCCUUAGUAUUUACAACAUAUGCCACUGAUUCAAAAACUAUUAAUUUAUCAAAAUCAUUUAUUAUUAUUAAGGUGAAAGUCCGAUUUUAUUUUAACCACUCGCUCCACCACUUCGUUUGUAAUUAGUAUUUAGCGUGUUUGUUAUUUGAUUUUUGAAUACAUUCCUAAAAACAUGCAACACAAUAUAUUAUCAUGUGCUUUUAAGUAAUUAAAUGAUUUCUUCCUAACUAUAUAUGAUUCCUUCGUGUGUGUAAGAUUUGGUGAUUGACAUUUGAAUAUAGAGACAAUCAAACAACUCAAGCUUUCUUAGUUUCAGCUACAGAGACAUGUCAAUGUUUUGUUCAUUGCUACAAACCUCGCUUUUGAAUUAUGAUUCAUUGUCGUGAAUAAAACAAAAGUUAUGAAAAUAUAAAUUUUAAUUUUUGUAAUAUUAAACCAUUCAGAAAAUAUACCUCCAUAUAUUAACCAAUACUAAUAACUGAAAUCUAUUAAACAUUCCAAAAGAAAAAAAUUCAUUUUUAUCUACCAUAUUAAUAAACGUAUAUGCAUCCUUUCAGGAUAUAUAUAUAUAUAUAUAUAUAUAUAUAUAUAUAUAUAUAUAUAUAUAUAUAUAUAUAUAUAUAUAUAUAUAUAUAUAUAUAUAUAUAUAUAUAUAUAUAUAUAUAUAUAUAUAUAUAUAUAUAUAUAUCCUGAAAGGAUGCAUAUACGUUUAUUAAUAUGGUAGAUAAAAAUGAAUUUUUUUCUUUUGGAAUGUUUAAUAGAUUUCAGUUAUUAGUAUUGGUUAAUAUAUGGAGGUAUAUUUUCUGAAUGGUUUAAUAUUACAAAAAUUAAAAUUUAUAUUUUCAUAACUUUUGUUUUAUUCACGACAAUGAAUCAUAAUUCAAAAGCGAGGUUUGUAGCAAUGAACAAAACAUUGACAUGUCUCUGUAGCUGAAACUAACAAAUAAUAGGUGUGUGCAUAUUAACCUAAACCCGAACCCGAAUCCAAACCGACCUGAAAAACCCGAACCGAAAACGGAACUGAAGUUAAAAAAAAACCGAACUGAAGUUAAAAAUUGAUCGCAUUAUUACUCUUUCAUAGUUUCAACAAUUAGUUACCAUAAAUAAUUAUUUCUAAUAUUAUGUAGAUUAUUUGGAAAUUGGUAAUUGAAUUAUCUUUUCCUUUUAGAUAUAAUUAUAAUAAAUAAAAUUAAAAAUCAUCUGCUAAUCAAAUUAUAACAAUUUGAAGAGUUCUUUAUGAUCAACACAUAAUAAAAAUCACUUAUGUGACUUCUCAAUCAAUAUAUAGUAGGAUUUAUAUUUUUAUAAAUCAUUUAUAACAUUAUAUAAAUAAUUUUAAAAUUCUGAUAAAUUUAUUAUGUAAACAACGAUAAAUAAUUUAAAAAUAAUAUUAAUAAACAUGUUUGAACUAAACCCUAAAACUCUAAACCAUAAAUCCUAAACCCUAAACCCUUGAGUGUUUUAGUGUUUAGUGAUUUUGAUUUAGAGUUUAAGAUUUAUCAUAGAGUUUAAGAUUUAUCCUAGGGUUUAGGGUUUACCCAAGGGUUUAGAGUUUAGGAUUUAGGAUUUAGGGUUUAGGAUUUAGGGUUUAAUGUUUUGCUGACGACGUUAAAAAUAUUUUUUUUUGUAAUUACUACUAAUUUUAUUUAUUUCUUUUUACCUUUUAAUUUUAAAAAGAUAAUAUAAUUUGACAAUAUUUUGUUUCCUUUUUUAAAAGAUAGCGAAUAUGAAAUGACAUAAUUCUAUUGGUUGGUGAAUCCUAGAGGGGUGAACCCAAGAAUAAGUCAUAUUCUUAUACUAGGGGAGGAGCUCCAGAAAAGCGCGGGGAUGUUGACAAUUAGAUGUGUCAUACGUAAUACUUUGAAAUUAAAAUGUUAUAGAAAGUAUUGUGGAGGAUCUCGUCAAAGCAGAAUGGACCAUUCGUAAUUCCAAUGGUGAUGCUAUUUUUUGGGAGCAGUUAAUUUGUCUGGGGAUGACAUCUUCUUCAUUGGAGGCCGAAGCACUUGCAUUACUUGCUGUGGUACAACUAUAAUAUCUCAGAGGUUUUGGUUCCAUAGUAUUUGAACGGGAAUGUAUUAACUUGGUGAAGAUGAUGAAUGAUCAUAAUUUCUUCUACAAUAUAGCUGUUGAAGGCAAUGUUAAAUCGUAGUGCAUAUUAAAUUUUGACUCCAACUACAGUGGCCAUUACAUUUAUACAAACCCUUUCAAUAUUUUUGUGUUAAUAUCCCACAUUUGUAACUGACCCUACCAGUGUUUUUUUCAUUGAGGUUGAUGUGUUGUCAAAGCUAUGGCACGUAUGCAUUUGUACUGCAUGAUAAAAUGAAGUGCAUAAGUGGACACCAUAAAUUCUAAUACUCGUCAACGUUCCCCAUAAUUUAAUCAAAAAGUAAAUACUAACCUAGUGGGUGAUAGUUUGCAGAAAUUUGAAAACAAUAAAAAAACUCAGAAUUUGAAAAACAUAGCAAUUUAGAUAAGUGAAAAUGCAGGAAAGCUAAGUGGGGUUGACGGUUUGCUGGACUUGUGCCAAUCACUCAAGGAGGCGCUUGCGACUCUUGUCUUUCUCAACCAAGAUUGGCUGAUUAGCUUCAUCAACUUCCUUGGCGUUGCUGGGAGAAUCCCCAGUCUCGCUAGCAGAUGAUGGUGCUUGUUCUGGUUAGAGAUCUCCCCGUAGAACCUUUUCAGCCUCGGGUUUAUGUAAGAAAAAAAUACGGUCAAGGUUUUAUUGCUAUUAACACUGUUAAAUCAAGUUAAAGGUAAGAUGAGACAACCUCGGUCAUGUGGAAUAUGUAUUGAUUACCAGCUAGAAGCAGGAGGAUUAGAAAAAGGCCAGUUUGUUGAUAUAUAUAUAUAUAUUACCUGUUCGAUGCAAGCUACUCGUAGCUCUGUUUCAGCUACUUAAUCAACCUUUUCAUCGACAAAUUCAUUGAGUUUGUAUGUAACAGAGCCCAAAUGGUCAACUGUAUUUACCAGAGUCUUUAUCGCAUAAUGUUUUUGUGUCUCCACGACUCUGCAAACACACGUAUAAGCUUUACAAAUAAAUAAAAAAGUCUAAUAACAAUUAAGAGCAAUAAAGUUUCACUGACGAUUGUGUGUCUCCAUCGUUUGUGUAGGAUAGUUCGAAGUACUUAACUGCUGAAUACAGCUGUGUUCUCAAAUUCUUCAGAUCAUGUAAAACAAAGAUGUCAUACUAAUAAACCACUUCUUGUUGAUACUCUGACUGAUUCGUUGAAACAUGGAAAGAAUUUAGCGUUGAUCAGUCACAAGACUUGUGAAGAUUACUCAGUUUCAAGAUUUUUGAAUAUUACCUUCAGACUAUAAGAAAAGAGCAGACUCUGUUGCAUAGAGAUUUCAUUGUAGUUUGAGCCUUCUCGGGGCAUGUGCAUUGUAGCCGCUGCACUUAUUUUGAUUCAAAGGUUAACUAACAAUGGAGUCUUCAAGGCACAGAGGAAGGUUUGGACCUUCAACGCCAGUAUGCUGUUUCUGGUUAAUAAUGGGCGUGUAACAUAAUGUAGAAAAUUAAAUGUGAUGCUGGGGAAGCUUUAUAGGAUAAAACUAAAGAUCCGUUGAUUCUGAGAAUACCCGGAAAAUUAAGAUAAUCACAAAGAUCUUAUUUAGUCUAAGAAUGCCUAAGAUCAAUGUCUUCCUAAAUUCGUUGAGAUCACUAAUGAUCUAGCUGAAAAAAAGGAUUAAAGAGAAAUCUCUUUAACUUUUAUUAAUCAAAUCAUCAACUGAAUACAAACUUAAGCCUAAACGGCUAUAUAUAAUAAAACCGAAAACCCUAAAACAAUAAGAUAAUUUUCUAAAUAAUUAAUAAAACAAACAAUAAGAUAUUUGGAAAUAUUCCAAAUACUUAUCUACAUCAUUCUCUCAGGGUUAGAGAAGAUUCGCCCUCGAAUCUUAACUUUGGUCUUCGAUUAAUUUGUUUCUUCUCUUCUUGAGCAUCCUCUGACGAUUCCGUCCGAGUUGGAAAACGUAACAUCUUCCCUCGUGAGGAUCCAUCUUCAUAUUUUCUUGACAAAUCACAUGACUUGAAUGUGAUUUAUUUAUUCCAGAUAUUACCAUAUCACCAUAAGGUGAAACACCUUUUUUCUUCUCUAAAGCACACGUGUGUUCCUCUUGAAUUAUGAAUCCAACUCUUUCCUUACGAUUGACUUGGAAAGUUUCGUUAGGAGUGAAGCCAUCUGCCACCCAAUGCUUGACCAUCACGACACAAGCAUCAAAUUGAUCAACCGUCAACGGGUUUGUCUUGAAUUCCACCCUCCUCAUUGUAAACAUCGAAAAUUGGAUCUCCCACGAUUUCUUUGUAAAUAAUAACUUCACUUUCCAAGAACAAAUUUUCCAUGAUUCCAGAAUCGGGUUUUGAUUAAAAAACCAAAAUGCCAGCUCUGAUACCAACUGAUGUAGAGGAAGAUUUAUAGGAUAAAACUAGAGAUCCGUUGAUUCUAAGAAUACCCGAAAAACUAGGAUAAUCAUAAAGAUCUUAUUUAGUCUAAGAAUGCCUAAGAUCAAUGUCUUCUUAAAUUCGUUGAGAUCACCAAUGAUCUAGCCGAAAACAAGAAUUAAAGAGAAAUCUCUUAACUUUUAUUUAUCAAAUCAUCAACUGAAUACAAACUUAACCCUAAAUGGCUAUAUAUAAUAAAACCGAAAACCCUAAAACAAUAAAGAUAAUUAUCUAAAUAAUUAAUAAAACAAAUAAUAAGAUAUUUGGAAAUAUUCCAAAUACUCAUCUACAUCAAAAUGCAAAUAAAAUACAUCAGUUUCCCUGAAGAACAAAAAAAAAAUUGAGAAUUUGGAUAAGAUCAAACUCACAUGAUCGAUCUGCUGUGUUGCUUGUGGCCUUCUCAUCACCCCCUUGCUCAAAUCACUGUAAUAACUUUCUAGGAGGAUGGACUUUUUGUUGGCCGAAUCGUGAAGAGAAAGCCCAACCUUUUCCCAAAUGCAUGUGGGAUCCCUUUCCUGUUCAAUGUGAUCGCAUUAGUCAAGAUGGAGAAAUGAUCGCAAUGGAGAACUGGAGUGCACGAGAUAUGUACCAGAAGAGGAAGAAGAGCAAGCAAACUAAUCCCACAUGAUGGGACUGAAUCGAAACCCUGAACCUGAGAGAGUAACAUGUCGACCAAUUGCAAGCAACAUUCAUACACGACAUAUGACAUGAACUUCAAUUUAAUUGAGAAUAUACUCUCAUUAGUUAGUCCAGUUGAUCGUUCUUAGUUCUUACCAUUCAUAGGUCCUCGAGAUCCAUUGCCUUUGAAAACAAAGCAGACGGGCAACAAUAAACUGGCCAAAUUUUCGGAUCCAGAGAGCGUCAAACGUGGAGUGUGAAACAACAGCACCGGAGGAAGAAUUUUUUGAGGAUCUUUCUAUGCUUUAAAAAUUGAUAAACUGAUAGAGGUGAUGAACAUCCAUCGCACUCUCAACCCAAUCAUAUUUAUAGAUUUGAGAUGAAUGAAACGAAUUUGUCGAUAUGGAAUCUGGAUCCAAUGCUACUAAAAAUUAUGGAGAAUUAAGACAUAAACAUUGAACAAUAGGGAAGGUGAAGAGAUAACAAAACUGUAGGCGAAGAGAUGAGGCUACAAAAGCCGGAGACAGCGAGGUAAAGUUUUGGAAGAGACGAUAGCGUGGAAGCCCUAAGCGUGUGAUGCUUAAAACGCGAAGUUUAACUAUUUUAUCAGACCAAACUCAUUAUUCAAUCGGACAUAGUAAACCGGAUAUUAAAUGGAGCCCACUGUCUUUAUGAAAUGCAUAGGUGGACAGCUUUAGCAGAGACAAAAGUGGCUCAUUAUAUAUAUGACUAGAUUUUUUACUCGCGCUACGCACGAGUCUCCUUUAAUAAUUUAAUUUAAUUUUGUAAUAUUUUUUAAGAAAAAGAUGAAUUUCGUAAAAAAUAUUUUUAUUAAUAUUAUUAAAAUAUUAUUUGAUUUCCUAUUUACAUUGUAUUGCUAGGGAAAGAGUAUCCUACGAGAUACUUAAAAAAAAUACUGUACAAAGAUUUGAAAUAUAGUUUUCAAAAAAUCAUUAUAUUACUUAUUAUUUUCUUUUUAUUUAAUUACUAAUUAAUAUUCAUUGCAACGAAAUAUUUAAGACAUUUUUUUGAGUUAAUUAACAGCUUCUAUUUUUUUUGUUCUUGUUCUUUAUGGACCCUAAAAUUAAAAUAGAAGAUUGGGGGUGAAUCAUAAAUCCAAAGGAGGUUUCAUGGCCAAAGGUAAAGAUGUUCGAGUAACAAUUAUUUUGGAAUGUACCAGUUGUGUUCGAAAUGAUAUUAAGAAAGAAUCGGCUGGAAUUUCCAGAUAUAUUACUCAAAAGAAUCGGCAUAACACUCCUAGUCGAUUGGAAUUGAGAAAAUUCUGUCCCUAUUGUUAUAAACAUACAAUUCAUGGGGAAAUUAAGAAAUAGAUAAAAUUGAGUGCUUGUAUGUCAAAUUUUAUUUUAAGAACAGGAAUAAUGAGAGUAUCUACGUAUUAUUACAUAUAUAUAAAUAUAAACAAAUAAAAUAAUAGAAAGAAAUCAAAUCCUAUAUUCUUAAUUCUAUAUAGAAACUCUAUCCUAUAUAGAAAUAGCAAUCGUUUUUAUUUUGAUCCGAUCAAAAAUAGGAUUUUAUAGGUAAGGAAUAAAAAAUUAUGAAUAAAUCUAAGCGACCUUUUACUAAAUCCAAGUGAUCUUUUCGUCGGCGUUUUCCCCUGAUCCACUCUCGCUUACAAACCGGGUUAUUUUAUACAAUAAUACAAAAUAUAGUACCAAGUUUAUAUUUAUACCAAUAUGUAAUGUUAAUUUCAUAAUUACAAACCAUAUGCAAUUGAAUAUUAAGGUACAUAGAACUGAUAUGUAAGGUUAUUGCAUGUUUACAAGUCUAUAUAAAUAAAAUACUAUGGUAAAUGACAUCUGUGAUUUGUUUUUUAAAAAAUGAGUCAAAAUUACGCAUUGUUGCAGUCAUUUCAACUAUGAUGUUUCAGACAUUAGUUUAUAUAUAUAUAAGAUCUAUAAAUAUGUACAUCUUCGUUUCAAUCAUUCAACUGCCAGAACAAGUGAAAAUUAUAUUAUCUAUAAGCUUGAACAGCAAGAACGGAUGAUCUAGUAUUCUAAAAGUGUUUACUGCACAAUGGUCAAUAACAAAGCAAGAAUCUACGCAAAAAGCAAAUAGAUGGCUCUGAAAACAACCUCGCAGACGAGUAGAACGAUGAGAAACAACCUCGCAGACGAGUAGAACGAUGAAGGUUCAGCUAAUGGGACACAUCAAUCACUUUAUAAUUAAUUUUNNNNNNNNNNNNNNNNNNNNNNNNNNNNNNNNNNNNNNNNNNNNNNNNNNNNNNNNNNNNNNNNNNNNNNNNNNNNNNNNNNNNNNNNNNNNNNNNNNNNNNNNNNNNNNNNNNNNNNNNNNNNNNNNNNNNNNNNNNNNNNNNNNNNNNNNNNNNNNNNNNNNNNNNNNNNNNNNNNNNNNNNNNNNNNNNNNNNNNNNNNNNNNNNNNNNNNNNNNNNNNNNNNNNNNNNNNNNNNNNNNNNNNNNNNNNNNNNNCGAGUAACAAUUAUUUUGGAAUGUACCAGUUGUGUUCGAAAUGAUAUUAAGAAAGAAUCGGCUGGAAUUUCCAGAUAUAUUACUCAAAAGAAUCGGCAUAACACUCCUAGUCGAUUGGAAUUGAGAAAAUUCUGUCCCUAUUGUUAUAAACAUACAAUUCAUGGGGAAAUUAAGAAAUAGAUAAAAUUGAGUGCUUGUAUGUCAAAUUUUAUUUUAAGAACAGGAAUAAUGAGAGUAUCUACGUAUUAUUACAUAUAUAUAAAUAUAAACAAAUAAAAUAAUAGAAAGAAAUCAAAUCCUAUAUUCUUAAUUCUAUAUAGAAACUCUAUCCUAUAUAGAAAUAGCAAUCGUUUUUAUUUUGAUCCGAUCAAAAAUAGGAUUUUAUAGGUAAGGAAUAAAAAAUUAUGAAUAAAUCUAAGCGACCUUUUACUAAAUCCAAGCGAUCUUUUCGUCGGCGUUUGCCCCCGAUCCAAUCGGGGGAUCGAAUUGAUUAUAGAAACAUGAGUUUAAUUAGUCGAUUUAUUAGUGAACAAGGAAAAAUAUUAUCUAGACGGGUGAAUAGAGUAACUUUAAAACAACAACGAUUAAUUACUAUUGCUAUAAAACAAGCUCGUAUUUUAUCUUUGUUACCUUUUCUUAAUAAUCAGAAACAAUUUGAAAGAAGUGAGUCGACCCCUAGAACUACUAGCCUUAGAACCAGAAAAAAAUAGACUUAUUCUUCAAUUGAAUAACUAAUCUGAAGGAAUUAAAAAAGAGGUUAAUAUUUUGUUCGACAAAUCCAAUCAAGAAUCAAAAUUUGAUUGUUACGUCUGUUUCUGUCAUAAAAAAAAAAAAAAAGAAAAGAAUCGUCGAAAAGAAAAAGAAUAAGUCUUUUUUUAGCGACUAUAUACCCUCGUUUUGUUUUGACGACUUUUUUUAUAAUACUAAUUUCUACUCUACCCUCCCCGAGCUUAUUCUACUUAAGAACUCUAUUUCAAAUAUUUUAGUGGAUUUCUUCCAAUCCCCUCAUUUUUUGAUCUCAUUUGAAAUCGUAUAAAGACAACUCCUAUUUAAUAGAGCUAUUUGUGCAAGUAUUUUUCGAUUAAGAAGUAAUUGCUUCUUGUACAGAUUGUGUAUGAAUCGGUUAUAACUAUAGAAUACCUCCGUUUCGUGAAUUACGGCAUUUAUUCGAGUGAUCCAUAAACGACGAAAAUCUCUUUUUCUUUUACCCCUAUCCCGACGAGCCGAAACUAAAGCUCUUAUUCUCUGUUGAGUCAUAGUUCGUGUAAGUCGUGAAUGAGCCCCUUGAAAGCUUGAUGCAAAUAAACGAAGUUUUGUUCUACGCCUCCGAGCUAUAUAUCCGCGUUUAAUUCUAGUCAUUGAAUAAAUCAAACUUUGAUGAAUAACUAAUUCUUUUUUUAGUUUUAGUUAUUCUUUUCCCCUUUACUAGUCAUUAAUAACCAAACGAAUUAUUCCAAUGUAUAAAAAAAAAUUCCAAUGGCUUUUGCUACUCUAACCUUCCCCACCACUAUUUUUGGCUAGGUAUUUUCCUUUGCUUUGAAAGGAUAAAUUGCCUUGGUACUUGAUAUAAAAAAAAUAGAAUAACUACAAAAAGUAGUAAAUAGAAAUGGAUAAAUAGUGGGUUCCUUCGUUUCUAUGGUUACUUCUAAAACGGUGAGGUCCUCUCUAUACACCGGAGCUCCUUCUUUUAAUUAAUCAAUACUAUUGGUAACUUGUACAAUUCACAUUCUUUGGCUCUACCCCAUUAAUAUUCCAGUAAUAGAUCUUUCACAAUGAGAUCCACUUUAUACAGUAACGGUAUUUUAUUUUAAAAUUGAUUUGGUCAUUUACCCUGUUAGUCCGUUUUUUCUUUCAAGAGUGGAAUCUUUUUAAUAAAAAAUGGGAUUUCCCCCGCUUAAUUGAUAACCAUUUGUUAUCAUUGGGGGUUUUCUAAAAAAUGGAGUUGAUUGGAUUUGCACCAAUGUAAACCAUAAGUUUCAGACACAAUAGAAGAUAUGAAUGAUCUAUCUUUUUGAAAUAAUGAAUCGAGUUCCUCCAUUCUAUUUUAUUAACAGGUACUGAUCCUUGAUAUUUCAAAAAGAAUUUCCUUUUUGUGUUUCAGUCUAUGAUCUAAACGAGUCGCACAUACACCCGAGUACAUGUUCCUCGUCGCUGAGGGCAUCCCCGAAGCGCUGGGGAUUUUGUGACAUUUCGGAUUGGCUGUCUUGUAUUUCUAAUAAGUUGUUUAAUGGUUGGCAUACGGAAUCAUAUAAAUAAUGGGCUGGUUUAGAUGGGUUCUAACCGGCUAAUUCUGAAUUACUUCUCUUCAAGAUUCUCUUCAAUAUAAAAAAAAUAUAUUGAAGAGAAUAUGAAACUAAACCUUUAAUCUAAAAAGAUAUAAAAUUAGCAGUGGUAGAUUUGCAUGAAAUCGCUCCUAUUUUUAUUGAACCGCUACAAGAUCAACAAUGCCAUGAGCUUGGGCUUCUGUUGCUGACAUAAAAACAUCCCUUUCCAUGUCUUCGGAUACAACCCAUAUAGGUUUGCCCGUUCUUUGUACAUAAACCCUUGUGAUGGUUUCGCGAAGUUUUAGUAGUUCUUCCGCUUCCAAGAUAACUUCUCCCGUUUGUGCCUCAUAAAACGAACUAGCGGGUUGAUGGAUCAUUACCCUGAUGAUAUAAUAGAAAAGCUUUUUCUAUUUCGCAGAAUGAGGCGAGAUAACCAAAAAAACAGAGAAAUUUGAAUAACCGUACAGGCUUUUUUUGUGCGUUGCAUACGGCUCUAGAAUGGAAUUUACGUUUUUGACCUUUCCUUUCGGCGAAAGAAAACAAAAUAUAGGUUCUAUUAUACGCGGAUCCAUAAAUGAUCCAAUUACCAUCCUUCUUUUUUGUUUUGUAGGAGUUAAAAAAAUACUAUGAUGGUUCCGUUGCUUUAUAUAUCAUUUUUUUUGAUCCGUCUAUGAUUCAGCAAUCCCAAAGUGUCUUUUUUUUUGUUUUUGUAAAUAAGCUUCCGGUGUGAAAACAAAGUUUGUGACGCUGGGAUGUGCCCGAAUAGGGAAGAUAUCAUUUUAAAUACCCCUUUCUUAUCCCAUACUACUCUUUCAAUAUAUAAUCUAAUUUUUUUAAUCUAAAAAAUUUCAUAUCGAAUUCGAAGUGCCAUGCUAUUAUUACUUAACUAAUUCAUAUUUCCGAGGGCGAAGGCAUAGUAUUUUUUCUCUAAAAUAAAAAAACUCAUUGGCGCCAAGCGUGAGGGAAUGCUAUACGUUUGGUAAUUUCUCCUCCGACUAGGAUAAAGGAUGCUAUUGAAGCGGCCAAUCCCAUGCAUAUUGUCUGUACAUCGGGUCGCACAAAUUGCAUAGUAUCAUAAAUAGCCAUUCCAGAUAUUACCCAUCCACCAGGAGAGUUUAUAAACAAAUAAAGAUCUUUGGUAUCCUUUUCUAUACUGAGAUAUAUCAUAAGACUAAUAAGUUGAUUCGAGAUUUCGGUAUCAACCUCUUGGCCUAAAAAAAACAAUCUUUCUCGAUAAAGUCGGUUGAUUAGGAUAAAAUUUUAUUCCUUAGGAGCCGUACAGGCACCUUUUGAUGCAUACGGUUCAACAAAAAUUGUUAAAAAAUCAAUGUGUCGAUUCCAACCCCCCCUUUUUUUUCAGAGAAGGCUUUUCUUUCUAACUUAAUAAGGGAAGGGCUUGCUUCCCUUUUAAAAGUAAAAGAAAAAAUAAAUAAGUUUUGGCCCCUUUUAUUUAUUAGAUAUUAUAAUCCUAAUAAUAAAAUAAUAAAACGAUUGAUUAGGCCUGUCAGACUAACUUGAUUCAUUGAUAUUUUUUUUUCAUCGAGAUUCAGUUGAAAUGGGGAUGGUUUUUUCUUGUUCCUGAAUGGGCUUCUUCCUUUUUUUAUUCCGUUUUUUUAGGUUUAUGCUCUACUCCGAGUAAAAGGAAAAAUUUGCCCGAUUUUGAUUUGCACAUAUAGGACAAAUGAACCAAAUACCGCGUCUUUUUUUUUUUUACUACUCCUUCUUUUUUUUUCAAUUCAUUUCUUUCACAUGUCUUCUGUCAAAUAGUCAAUAAAUUUUUAAUUAUAUUAUUUUAUUUGAUCAACAGUUUUAGAUCACCCUGUUUCAAUUUUUUGUAUUUUUUUUAUUUUUUAAUAGAAUUUUUAUCAUAAUUUUGAUAUCAUAUUCAUAUCAUAUUAAGUAGUAAUUAUAAAAAUAUUAUAUAUUAAUUAUCAAUUGGAUUUUUGCUAAACGGAGCCUGGAUACUUAAUUUUAUUAGUCCGAUCACGUAAACCAUAAAAAAUUUUUGAUAAUCUAAUAUCAAUCUAAAUACUCCCUGCAUUUAAUUCUAAUUUAUUUUUUGCGCUUCGCGUUACAAAUUUUUGAUAAUUCAAUCAAUCUUUUUGAGCGAAACAGAGGAUAUCUCGAUCGAGGGAGAAAAUGGGGAAAUCCCAUAUAGCCCAAUAUAUCUGACAAGUCGCACUAUAUGUCAACCCAAGAUGUAUCUCCUUCUCCAGGACUUCGAAAAGGUACUUUUGGAACGCCAAUAGGCAUGAAAUGAAAAAAAAAGAGAAUGAAGUUCUCUAUUUCACUUUGAUGUGGAAACGUAAGACUGGGGUUUCAUUUUUUUUAUCAUAUUAUCCUUUUUUCCUACUUUAUUAAUAUUAAUCAUAUUUAAAUUAAUAAUAUUUAAUACAGAAGUUGAAUAAGCUAAAAUAAAAUAUAAAAUAAAAGUAAAGUAAGAGAGAAUGAAUAAAAAUGAAAGGAAACUUUUUACGAACGGGCUUCUGAACGAUGAACAACAAUAGCUAUCUUGGUUCAUAUAACAUAGGAUUCACCCCCAUUGCGUAUUGGUACUUAUCGGAUAUAGAAUAGAUCCGCUUCCCUUUUUUCCUAUGAAUCGAAUUGUUCCAUUAUUACUAACAGAAUAGAACAAAUAUUAAUCCUUUCUCCGAAAUAAUUACCUAAAAAGGGGGGGUCCGUAACAUAGUUUUUUCCAAUGCAAUAAAGUUACAUAGUGUCUAUUUUUCAUUGAUAAAGGGGUAUUUCCAUGGGUUUGCCUUGGUAUCGUGUUCAUACUGUUGUAUUGAAUGAUCCCGGUCGUUUGCUUUCGGUUCAUAUAAUGCAUACUGCUCUGGUUGCUGGUUGGGCCGGUUCCAUGGCUCUAUAUGAAUUAGCUGUUUUUGAUCCCUCCGACCCUGUUCUUGAUCCAAUGUGGAGACAAGGUAUGUUCGUUAUACCUUUCAUGACUCGUUUAGGAAUAACCAAUUCAUGGGGCGGUUGGAAUAUUACAGGAGGGACUAUAACGAAUCCGGGUCUUUGGAGUUACGAAGGGGUAGCCGCAGCACAUAUCGUGUUUUCUGGCUUGUGCUUCUUGGCAGCUAUUUGGCAUUGGGUAUAUUGGGAUCUAGAAAUUUUUUGUGAUGAACGUACAGGAAAACCUUCUUUGGAUUUGCCCAAGAUUUUUGGAAUUCAUUUAUUUCUUUCAGGAGUGGCUUGCUUUGGUUUUGGCGCAUUUCAUGUAACAGGUUUAUAUGGUCCUGGAAUAUGGGUAUCCGACCCUUAUGGACUAACCGGAAAGGUCCAACCCGUAAAUCCGGCGUGGGGCGUGGAGGGUUUUGACCCUUUUGUUCCGGGAGGAAUAGCCUCUCAUCAUAUUGCAGCAGGGACGUUGGGUAUAUUAGCGGGCUUAUUCCAUCUUAGUGUUCGUCCGCCUCAACGUCUAUACAAAGGAUUACGUAUGGGAAAUAUUGAAACCGUCCUUUCCAGUAGUAUUGCUGCUGUCUUUUUUGCAGCUUUUAUUGUUGCUGGAACUAUGUGGUAUGGUUCUGCAACUACUCCCAUCGAAUUAUUUGGUCCUACUCGUUAUCAAUGGGAUCAGGGAUACUUUCAACAAGAAAUAUAUCGAAGAGUUAGUGCCGGACUAGCUGAAAAUCAAAGUGUAUCAGAAGCUUGGUCUAAAAUUCCUGAAAAAUUAGCUUUUUAUGAUUAUAUUGGUAAUAAUCCAGCAAAAGGGGGAUUAUUCCGAGCGGGUUCAAUGGACAAUGGGGAUGGAAUAGCUGUUGGAUGGUUAGGACACCCCGUCUUUAGAAAUAAAGAAGGGCGUGAACUUUUUGUACGCCGUAUGCCUACUUUUUUUGAAACAUUUCCGGUUGUUUUGGUAGACGGAGACGGAAUUGUUAGAGCCGACGUCCCGUUUAGAAGGGCAGAAUCUAAAUAUAGUGUCGAACAAGUAGGUGUAACUGUUGAGUUUUAUGGUGGUGAACUCAAUGGAGUAAGUUAUAGUGAUCCCGCAACUGUGAAAAAAUAUGCUAGACGGGCUCAAUUGGGUGAGAUUUUUGAAUUAGAUCGUGCUACUUUGAAAUCCGAUGGUGUUUUUCGUAGCAGUCCAAGAGGUUGGUUUACUUUUGGGCAUGCUUCGUUUGCUCUACUUUUCUUCUUUGGACACAUUUGGCAUGGUUCUAGAACCCUCUUCAGAGAUGUUUUUGCUGGUAUUGAUCCAGAUUUGGAUGCUCAGGUGGAAUUUGGGGCAUUCCAAAAACUUGGAGAUCCAACUACAAAAAGACAAGCAGUCUGAUGCAACAUUGCUUUUUUCUUUUAGUUUCUGUUUGCGAUUUUUUUGAUUUCAUUUUAUUUAAUAGGUAGGGUACUGUAGGAAUCUUGAUUUAAAUCGCUGCCGUUUCUUUGACUCUUUUUUGUUCUUUAUCCGGAGGUAUACUCCUUCAGUAAACAUAAACAAAACAGGUAUGAAAGCUAUAAUUGUAAACCACGAUCAAAUUUAUGGAAGCAUUGGUUUAUACAUUUCUCUUAGUAUCGACUUUAGGGAUCAUUUUUUUCGCUAUUUUUUUUCGGGAACCGCCUACAAUUUCAACUAAAAAAUGAAAUAAUUUUUCAUUCUCUUCAUUGACGUAAUCAGCCUCCAACUAUUUGGAGGCUGAUUACGUCAACUAGUCCCCGUGUUCCUCGAAUGGAUCUCUUAGUUGUUGAGAGGGUUGCCCAAAGGCAGUAUAUAGAGCAUACCCAGUAAAACUUACAAGUAACCCAGAUAUAAAGAUGGCGACUAGAGUUGCUGUUUCCAUUAUUAUAUAAUUGAAAGACCACAAUGGAUCUAUGCUAAGAUCGUUUAUUUACAACGGAAUGGUAUACAAAGUCAACAGAUCGUAAUGAAUACAAAAUAAGAUUUAUGGCUACACAAACUGUUGAAGAUAGUUCUAGAUCUGGUCCAAGAAGCACUACUGUAGGGAAGUUAUUGAAACCGUUGAAUUCUGAAUAUGGUAAAGUAGCUCCUGGAUGGGGAACGACCCCUUUGAUGGGUGUUGCAAUGGCACUAUUUGCGGUAUUCCUAUCUAUUAUUUUGGAGAUUUAUAAUUCCUCUGUUCUACUGGAUGGAAUUUCAAUGAAUUAGACUGAGAAGAAUCUUGAAGUCCUAGCUUUUUGUUCGAUACAAAAAAGUAAAGUAUGUAGGUCUAAAAUUUUGCACCUAUUCUCCUUUGGUAGUUCGACCGCGAAAUUUUUUUCUGCAUUGUAUAUUUCCGGAAUAUGAGUGUGUGACUUGUUAGAAUUGACCCUAUGGAUAGUACAGAGAAGGGGGUCUGUCAUCUUUAUCAAGAUGGUUUUAUUUCGUCGGAUAUUCAUUCGAGUAUCUGGAGCACGAAAUAGAUCAAAUAGAUCACAAAGUUUUCGAACUAUGAUUCAUACUUAAUACUUAGACCUCGUAGCCGGACUUCUUUCCGUUCUAUCUUAUAAAUUUUCAUAAAUCAAUUUUUUUCUGCUUUUAAACUCUUAUUUAGAUCAAAGGACAAACGCUUCUUUGUAUUUUAUGUUUUUAAUCAUUAUAGCUCUUUUUUUUUUUUAUUGAAUAAGUGAUGAUCCAAUGGUUCUCACUCAGUGAACUUUGGACUUUGAAGGUUUCAUUGAAUUAUCGUGGUUUUCGUAUGAAUCUGAGGUUUCAAUUAAUAAGUAGGGUCUUAACAAGAAAAUUCCUAUCAAUAAUAAAGAAAACAAGAAGAAAUCCGUAUUCCCAUUCCAUACAAAUACCAACUAAAAAAGACAAUAACGAUAGGUAAUCUAGAAGAUUCAAGAGGCCUGUAACGAUCAACACAACAUAAAGACGUAUGAGCUGACUUGAGUUUUUGGCAUUUAACCACAAAGAAGAGCUUUCGCAUUUUGACUCUUAAAUAAUAUUGAAUGAGAGAGAAGUUUAAAACUUUAUAUUCCAUAUCCGUUUCAAUCAGUAUUUGGGUCUUUUUUUUGUUUGAGCUGUACGAGAUGAAAUUCUCAUAUACAGUUCUUGGAGGGGGAGGAACCUUGGUUUACCUAUCUCAAUAAAGUUUAUGAUUGGUUCGAAGAACGUCUUGAGAUUCAAGCGAUUGCAGACGAUAUAACUAGUAAAUAUGUUCCUCCGCAUGUCAACAUAUUUUAUUGUCUAGGAGGAAUUACCCUUACUUGUUUUUUAGUACAAGUAGCUACGGGAUUUGCUAUGACUUUUUAUUACCGUCCAACUGUUACUGAGGCUUUUGCUUCUGUUCAAUAUAUAAUGACUGAAGCUAACUUUGGUUGGUUAAUCCGAUCAGUUCAUCGAUGGUCGGCAAGUAUGAUGGUCCUAAUGAUGAUCCUGCACGUAUUUCGUGUAUACCUCACCGGUGGUUUUAAAAAACCUCGCGAAUUAACUUGGGUUACUGGUGUGGUUCUGGGUGUAUUGACCGCAUCUUUUGGUGUAACAGGUUAUUCUUUACCUUGGGAUCAAAUUGGCUAUUGGGCAGUCAAAAUUGUAACAGGUGUACCUGACGCUAUUCCGGUAAUAGGAUCGCCUCUUGUAGAAUUAUUACGCGGAAGUGCUAGUGUUGGACAAUCCACUUUGACUCGUUUUUAUAGUUUACACACUUUUGUAUUACCUCUUCUUACGGCUGUAUUUAUGUUAAUGCAUUUCUUAAUGAUACGUAAGCAAGGUAUUUCUGGUCCCUUAUAAAUAAUAUAGAUUCUAGAUAUUUUUAAUUACUAAUUUAUCUUAUUACUUGGUGAAGGAACAAUCGUAUUUUAUUGCUAUAAAUAUGGAUUAUUAAAAAAAUAAGACAUGUAUUUGGAUAUUUCCCUUCAACUCCACAAUAUUGUAUUAUUUUUUUGACAUAAAAAGUUGAAGGGAAUUCUAUGAAGAGAAAAUGGAUUAUGGGAGUGUGUGACUUGAACUAUUGAUCGGGCCGUGCAGAAAUAUGACUUUAUCUGCUACAUUGGAAUUCACAACCAAAUGUGUCUUUGUUCCAACCACUGUGUAAGCCCCAUACAGGGGAUAGGCUGGUUCACUUGAAGAGAAUCUUUUCUAUGAUCAUAAUACCCGACGAUGUCGUGGAUGAGUGGGCUCCGUAAAAUCCAAAAAUCCAGGAGAUUAAGGGAUGGAACAUAAUCAGGAUUAUGUUUUUAGCUAUUUUUUACUAAAAAAUAGCUAAAAACAUAAAAAAUUAAUAGUAUGUAAAUGCAUUCAUUUCCUCUGCAUCGACUCGAUUUCUGAUACUAUCGGAGUGAAUACAGGAUCUAAUGAAGAGUAGAGGGUAGACUUCAUUAGUAACAAGUAAAUCCUUUGUAUUUGAAAAAUCUCGAUAUAAUUUUUGAGAUUAAGGAUUAAUUGAUAAGGUAUGAGACGAUCCAGAAAGCACUUAAUCAUGAUCAACUUUUAAGCUUACGUGGGUGUUGAGCAUUUACCUGUAAGAAUGGAAUUUAUGGUAAUCUUUAGUUGCAAUAACUUUGGAAUCGGAUAAUUCUUUUUUUACAUAUUAAAUACUUGUUGAUAACAUAUAUAUUUUUUGUAUGUAUUAAUUUAGUUUGGUUAAUUCUUGCUCGAGCCGGAUGAUGAAAAAUUAUCAUGUCCGGUUCCCUCGGGGGAUGGAUCCAUAAGAAUUCACCUAUCCCAAUAACAAAAAAACCAGAUUUGAAUGAUCCUGUAUUACGAGCUAAAUUAGCUAAAGGUAUGGGUCAUAAUUAUUACGGAGAGCCCGCAUGGCCCAAUGAUCUUUUAUAUAUUUUUCCAGUAGUCAUUCUUGGUACCAUUGCCUGUAACGUAGGCUUAGCGGUUUUAGAACCAUCAAUGAUUGGUGAACCUGCGGAUCCUUUUGCAACUCCUUUGGAAAUAUUACCUGAAUGGUAUUUCUUUCCUGUAUUUCAAAUACUUCGUACAGUGCCUAACAAAUUAUUGGGUGUUCUUUUAAUGGCUUCAGUACCGGCGGGAUUAUUAACCGUACCCUUUUUGGAAAAUGUUAAUAAGUUCCAAAAUCCAUUUCGUCGUCCAGUCGCGACAACCGUCUUUUUGAUUGGCACCGUGGUGGCCCUGUGGUUAGGUAUUGGAGCAACAUUACCAAUUGAUAAAUCUCUAACUUUAGGUCUUUUUUAAUUAAAUUUAUUCAAUUGUAAAAUAAAAGGCGUGGGUAUCUAGGGAGUAGUCAUUUCAAAAUGAAUUCUCCCUAGAUACAUAUCUAAAUUAAUUUUAUUAAGUAAAAUAGGUUUGACUGGAAAAUCGAAAUUACGUUGAAGGUUUAAAAUCCAUUUCAAUUUUAAAUUGACUUUUUAGUCAAAUUUUUUUUAAUGCUUUUUUUAUUUUUUUUCUAAAAUGUCUAAUAUCUUUUUUACAUCUUCUAUGUGAAAAUGUUCCAUUUUGAUAAGGUCUUCUUGACUGUUAUUCAAAAGAUCCAAUAAUGUAUGUAUAUUGGACUUUUUGAGACAAUUAUAGAUUCUGGGAGGCAAUUCUAAUUGGUCAAUAAAAAUAUAUUGAAACGCUAGUUCUUUUUUUUUUUUUCUUAGGUUAACUAAUCUAUUAUGAAAAGGAAAAAGGGGUAAAGUAACUUGAUGUUGAUUGUUCUCUAAAUAGAACGUUUCUUCUUCUACAUGUAGAAAAGGAAUAAAUAAAUUAAUCAAAUUCCGGGAGGCUUCAUGAAGUGCUUCUUUAGGAGUUAAACUUCCAUUUGUCCAUAUUUCUAGAAAAAGAAUCUCUUGUUUUUCAUUCCCAUUCCCAUAAGAAUGAAUACUAUGAUUCGCAUUUUGAACAGGCAUGAAUACAGCAUCUAUAGGAUAACUUCGGUCUUCAAAGUUAUUUGACAUUUUUAAACUAUAUCCGCGAUUCCUCUCGAUUUUUAAUCCAAUACACAAAUUUAUUGGUUCCGUUAAGGUAGCUAUAUGCUGUGUAUUAUCAACGAUUUCCACAGAGGGCGGUAAAACUAUGUCUCGAGCAGUUAUAUAUCCGGGACCUUGGACACAAAUAAGCGCGUUGCGCGUUCCAUAUAGAUUACUUUUUAAUACAAUCUCGUUCAAAUUCAUUAAAAUUUCAUGUACUGAUUCUUGAAUACCGACUAUGUUAGAAUAGUCAUGUGGUAUGUUCUCAGAUUUUGCACGUGUAAUACAUGUUCCUUCUAUUUCGCCAAGUAAAGCUCUUCGCAUCGCAAUGCCUAUUGUGUCGGCUUGACCUUUCAUAAGUGGAGACAGAAUAAAGCGUCCAUAAUAAAGACGCUUACUGUCUCUUCUUGAUUCAACACACUUCCACUGUAGUGUCCGAGUAGAUACUUUGACUUUCUCUCGAACCAUAGUAAUUUUAUUUGAUCAGAUCAUUGAAUCAUUUAUUUCUCUUGAAACCCUUUCAGCCUUUAUUUAGUUCUAUACACGUCGUUUUUUAGGGGGUCUACAACCAUUAUGUGGCAUAGGGGUUACAUCUCGUACGAAACUUAAAAGUAUACCGCUUCUACGAAUAGCUCGUAAUGCUGCAUCUCUUCCUAGUCCAGGGCCUUUUAUCCUUACUUCAGCUCGUUGCAUACCUUGAUCCACUACUGCUCGAAUAGCAUUUCCUGCUGCGGUUUGAGCAGCAAAAGGUGUUCCUCUUCUUGUACCCCUGAAUCCACAAGUACCCGCGGAGGACCAAGAAAUCACCCGACCCCGUACAUCUGUAACGGUCACAAUGGUAUUGUUGAAACUUGCUUGAACAUGAAUAACUCCCUUUGGUAUUCUACGUACAUUUUUACGUGAACCACUACGGGUAUUUUUACGUGAACCAAUUCUUAAUAUAGGUUUUGCCAUAUUUUUUCAUUUCACAAGAAAUAUAUGGAUAUAUCCAUUUCAUGUCAAAACGGACCUUUUUUUUACUAGCUCCUUGGAAGUGCCUUUUCCUUUAGUAAGAUUAUCCUUGUCUUUGUUUAUGCCUCGGGUUGGAACAAAUUACUAUAAUUCGUCCCCUCCUACGGAUUAGCCGACACUUUUCACAAAUUUUACGAACGGAAGCCCUUAUUUUCAUAGUUGUUAUUCCUUAAUUCUCUUAAUAUACUUAUUGUUGGACGAAAAAAAGGUUUCUUGAUAUUUUUGAAUCUUGAAUUGUAUCUUCGUGAAAGGAAUGUUGAAUUUCAAAAAACCACUGACUUAUUUGAAUCCUUGUUAUGGAGUCUAGAAAGUGGCUGUUCCCCGAUUAACUUAAUACCUAAGAACUUACUAAAAUUUUUACCCCUUUUUCUCCUAUAGGUAUACCUAUACAAAAAUAUGUCGAAUCCUUUCAGAAGCAUGACCUAAAAUAAAAAAAAUCUUUAGUAUCUAAACAAAAUCGAACCAUACCGUUCGGAAGUGAUUCAUAAAGAAAACUUUCAUUAAUUCAUUUUUUUCUUUAAUUUCAUUCGGGGUAAAAAAUUCUAAACUUUUUUAGCAGGGGUGGUAUUACACAACCCCCCCCCUUUUUUUUCACAAAUGCUAAGUUCCGGAUAUCCAAUUUUGAUAUUAGAAGGAUUACCAUAUAUAACACAAAAUUUCUCCGCCGAUUCUUUUUAGUCGAGCUUCUCGAUCUGUCAUUAUACCUUGAGAAGUUGAAAGGAUUACAAUUCCUAUUCCGCCUAAAAUUCGUGGAAUUCGUUGAGAGUUAGAAUAGAUUCGUAGACCCGGUCGGCUUAUUCUCUUUAAAUUUAAAAUCGUUUUAUAGGAUUCUUUCUUAUUUCGUCUAUGUCUUAGGGUUAAAAUCAAAAAAUAUUGAUUGUUUUCGCGAUGUUUCCUUACGUUUUCGAUAAAACCCUCUUGUAAAAGUAUUUUAACAAUGCUUUCGGUGAUGUUAGUCGAUCCUAUCCGAACUGUUCCUUUUCUAUUCAUGUCAGCAUUUCGUAUAGAGGUUAUUAUAUCAGCAAUAGUGUCUUUCCCCAUGAUAAGUUAAAAUUCCUUAAUUGUUCUAUAAUUUUGAUAUAAUCAACAUGUUAUUUUUCUUUUAUUUAUAUAAAAAUAGAGACGAAUUAUAUAUUAAUAUAUGAAUUCAAUUAUUAAUAUAUAAAAUUAUUAAGGGUAUAUGCGUGAUACACAAUCUAUUAAUUAUAAUUAAUUUGAUUUCAAUACCAUUUUUUUAAUCCUAUCCUAUAUUAACUAUCGAUAUUUAGGUCUUAUAAUACUUCAGGAGCUAAUGAAACUAUUUUAGUAAAGUUUAAUUGUCUCAAUUCCCGUGGGAUCGCCCCAAAAACGCGAGUUCCUUUUGGAUUUCCUUCUUGAUCAAUGACAACUGCGGCAUUGUCGUCAUAUCGUAUUAUCGUCCCAUUCUUACGUUUGAGUUCUUUACAAGUACGUACAAUUACAGCUCUGACCACUUCUGAUCUUUCUAGAGUAGUAUUUGGGAUUGCUUCCUUGAUUACAGCAACAAUAACGUCACCAAUAUGAGCAUAGCGGCGAUUACUAGCUCCUAUUAUUCGAAUACACAUCAAUUUUCGAGCCCCGCUGUUGUCUGCUACAUUCAAAUAGGUUUGUGGUUGAAUCAUAUUUUUGUAUCUCUUCUUUUAGUGCAAAGGACGAAGUAAAAAAAAUAUUGUUUGUCAAAAAAAACUUAGAAUCUUUUUAUCCUUAAAUGUUAUUUAGCUUUUUCAUUCUAUAUUCCUAUUCAGAAAUAAUGAAUUGGGUUUUUAUAGGCAUUUUUGAUGCCGCGAUUGAAAUAGCUUUUCUGGCUAUAUUUUCUGGUACACCACCCAUUUCAUAAAGGAUUUUACCUGGUUUAACCACAGCUACCCAGUACUCUGGGGAUCCUUUCCCAGAACCCAUACGCGUUUCCGCGGGUCUUACUGUAACUGGCUUGUCUGGAAAUAUACGUACCCAAAUUUUUCCACCACGUCGUAUAUUUCGUGUCAUUGCUCGUCGCCCUGCUUCUAUUUGUCUAGAUGUAAUCCAAGCGGGUUCAAGUGUUUGAAGAGCAUAUCUGCCAAAACAAAUACGAUUCCCACGAGAGGAUAUUCCUUUUAGUCUUCCUCGAUGUUGUUUACGAAAUUUGGUUCUUUUUGGGUUAUAGUUGAUGGGUUUUUUCUAAAUGAGAAAUUCCAUCUCUACUGCAGAACUGGACGUGAGAGUUUCUUCUCAUCCAGCUCCUCGCGAAUAAAAGGAUUAAUUAAGAUAUAGAUGUAGUUAAUGAUUAAUCCUAUUAAUCAUGGUAUUUUUUUUUUAUUUCAUCUUAUCUCUUCUAAAUUUGUGUAUGUCUUUUUUGAAAUAGAAUCAAAGAUCAAUUUUAUUUCGAUUUAUUUAAAAAUAACGUAAUAUCAUCAUUACAAAUGUAAUUUUUAUUAGAGUUAGAAUAUUAUAACAAAUCCUUAUUUUUUUUUCAUUGUUUUUUUCAUCUUUUAUUACUGUUUUUAUUUGAAAAAAAAAAACCAAUUUUUCGCCGGCGAAUAUUUACUCUUUCAAUAUCUAUUUAAGUUUGCUGUUUAUCCCCCGAGGUCUCAGAAUCAAAAUCAGAAUAGAUAAUAAAGUUUCUGGUUUAUUCCGCCAUCCUGUCCAAUGAAUUACUAAGAUUUCUUGUUCACUAGAAUCCUAUAUAUUCAUGGGUUCCGUCGUUCCCAUCGCUUCUUGAUUAAUCAUUAGGCCUGAAUUCUACAAUGGAGCUUUUACAUGAAAUUUUGAAUUUCUUUUUUUUUUGAGGCAAUUUUCUCAGUUUUGAUUGUCUCAAGGCUCUUAAUUUUUUGUUUUCGGAACAGAUUUAUCUAAUUAUUAUUAUUUAUCUAAUUAUUAUGAAUGAAUCUGUAUUGAUGCUUUAUUACAUUGCUUUUCUUACAGUGACCUCAUAGAUUUUCCAAAUUGGAAUCAUAUAUCAUUAAUAUUCAAUUUUUUCGCUCUUUCUUUCAUCCUUCCAUUUAUCCGCAUACUUUUUGAUUACCUUUCAUAACUUAAUAAUCAUCUUUCUUUAUUCUUUUUUUUUAGUCAGUUGCUCCAAUGAUAUGAUCAGCCUAUCAUAUCUUGACUAAUUUUUUGGAUCCAGAUAAUGCGAAGCAAUGAGUUGCUUAGGUUAUUUAUUAAUGCUGUAGUUAUUAGUUGGUAAGUUCUUUUUUUUUUUUAUCGUAAUCUAACCCUAAACCAACGAGUCACACACUAAGCAUAGCAAUUAUAUCAAAGGAGUUUUGAUGGAAAUGUUUAUUCAACCUUAUAGAAUUGCUUAUUUUUUUUUCUUAAACAUAAAAAAGAAGACUACAAGUUUUUAUUUUUAUUUCUUUAUAGUGUUAUACUACAUAGUUUUCGUUUUUUAUCAUUGGAUAAAAUGUAAAGACAAAUAAAGUUUUUUUAUUCUUCGUCUACGAAUAUCCAAAUUUUUAUUCCUAAAACCCCAUAAAUAGUUCGAACUGUAUAGGAACAAUAAUCAAUUUUAGCUUCAAUUGUUUGUAAAGGAACUCUGCCUUCUCUGAUCCAUUCAACACGUGCAAUUUCUUUUCCGUCGAUACGUCCUGCAAUUUGUACUUGAAUUCCUUUUGUAUUCGCCUGUUCAGUUAAUUCAAUAGCUUUUUUCAUUGCUUUUCGAAAAGAAACGCGAUUUUUUAAUUGGCCAGCUAUAAAUUCUGCAAGAAUAUUAGGAUGCCCAUACGGAUUGGAAAUUCGGGUAAUAGCAAUGUUGAGUUUUCUAUUGACACAAUUAAGUUCUUUUUGAACAUUCAUCUGUAAUUCUUCGAUUCUUCGGGGUUUAUCUUCAAUUAAUAAUUUAGGAAAUCCCAUAUAGAUUAUGAUCUGAAUGAGAUCGAUUCUUUUUUGAAUUUCGAUACGUGCAAUUCCCUCCAUACCAGAGGAUAUUCUUAUAUUUUUUUG